UGGCUCUCGCAUCGCUGAAGAACGCAGCGAAAUGCGAUAAGUAAUGUGAAUUGCAGAAUUCAGUGAAUCAUCGAAUCUUUGAACGCACCUUGCGCUCCUUGGUAUUCCGAGGAGCAUGCCUGUUUGAGUGUCAUGGUAUUCUCAAAUUGCCUGUGUUUCUUUUUUUUAUUUUUAAAAAAGAAUACAAGUAGUUUUGGACUUGGAGGUGAAUUGUUGGCUUUUGUCAGCUCCUCUGAAAUGCAUUAGCUUGAAAUUGUACCAAGCAUGGUUCAGCGUGAUAAACACUGCGCUGCUUUGUAUUGGUUUUUAUUUUUAUGUUUCAAGCUUAGAACUGUUCCUGGCAAAGGAACUCACUUUGGACAUCUGACCUCAAAUCAGGUAGGACUACCCGCUGA
rnacentral:misc_RNA from 1 species